UCUUAAGGCUCUAAUAUCUUGUCUUCUGGCUAUGAGAACAGAGCAUAUGGUUUGCUUGAAGAUUCUUGUUCAACACUUAUCCAUUAAUCUGACAGCAGGAAGUGCUAAAGAGCAGAAACAGGAGUCGGUCAGACUCUCACCUCAAGUCCAAGGCAAAUAUGCUUGCCCCUAAAAGACAUACUUGAUCUUCAAGUUCAGGAAAACCAGAUACAAAGUCUCACUCUGUUGCCCAGGAUGGAGUGCAGUGGUGCGAUCUCAGCUCACUACAACCUCUGCCUCCCAGGGUCAAGCGAUUCUCCUGCUUCAGCCUCCCCAGUAGCUGGGACUACAGGUAGCCUCAGCUUGCACCUGCAUCAGUCAGUAUUUACCAGCCAUUCUAGACCCUUUUAGGAUCCUCAAACACACCUCACAGGACUCAAAAGGAAGCGAACUUUCACCAGUUCGCCAACUGUCGUCACCAAUCUCAUCACUCAAGAGAAACUCAUUCAGCUUUUGAACACUGCAAAAAACAAUAAACACAGA
ensembl:lncRNA novel transcript